rnacentral:rRNA from 1 species
AAGGCAGCAGGCACGCAAAUUACCCACUCCCGGCACGGGGAGGUAGUGACAAAAAAUAACGAUACGGGACUCAUCCGAGGCCCCGUAAUCGGAAUGCGCACACUUUAAAUCUUUUAACAAGGAUCCAAUGGAGGGCAAGUCUGGUGCCAGCAGCCGCGGUAAUUCCAGCUCCAUUAGCGUAUAUUAAAGUUGUUGCGGUUAAAAAGCUCGUAGUUGGUUCUGUGUUGCACGCUGUCGGUUCACCGCCUGCCGGUGUAACUGGCAUGUCGUGAAAUGUCCUGUCGGUGGUGGCCUCGACCCACGGCGUGUGUAGGUUCGCCGAAGCUCGCCGCUGCGUGUCAGGCUGCCGGUUCAAUCCUGCCGCGGUGCUCUUUACUGAGUGUCGAGGUAGGCCGACACGUUUACUUUGAACAAAUUAGAGUGCUCAAAGCAGGCUAACAAUGCCUUGUAUACUGUUGCAUGGAAUAAUACAAGAGGACCUUGGUUCUAUUUUGUUGGUUUUCGGAAUCCAAGGUAAUGAUCAAUAUGGACAGGCGGGGGCAUUCGUAUUGCGGCGUUAGAGGUGAAAUUCUUGGAUCGUCGCAAGACGCACUAGAGCGAAAGCAUUUGCCAAGUAUGUCUUACUUGAUCAAGAACGAAAGUUAGAGGUUCGAAGGCGAUCAGAUACCGCCCUAGUUCUAACCAUAAACGAUGCCAGCCAGCGAUCCGUCGAUGUUCCUCCGAUGACUCGG